rnacentral:rRNA from 1 species
UACGUAGGGGGCAAGCGUUGUCCGGAUUUAUUGGGCGUAAAGAGCGUGUAGGCGGCUUUACAGGUCCGUUGUGAAAACUCGAGGCUCAACCUCGAGAUGUCGGCGGAAACCGUCUGGCUAGAGUCCGGAAGAGGAGAGUGGAAUUCCUGGUGUAGCGGUGAAAUGCGCAGAUAUCAGGAAGAACACCUAUGGCGAAGGCAGCUCUCUGGGACGGUACUGACGCUGAAGCGCGAAAGCGUGGGGAGCGAACAGG